CGAAAGCCUGACGGAGCAACGCCGCGUGUGGGAAGAAGGCCUUUGGGCUGUCAACCACUUUUCUCAGGGAAGAAGUUCUGACGGUACCUGAGGAAUCAGCCUCGGCUAACUCCGUGCCAGCAGCCGCGGUAAUACGGAGGAGGCAAGCGUUAUCCGGAAUUACUGGGCGUAAAGCGUUCGUAGGGGGCUCGUCAAGUCUGCUGUCAAAGACCGAGGCUCAACCUCGGGUCGGCAGUGGAGACUGGAUAGCUAGAGGUCGGUAGGGGCAAAGGGAAUUCCCAGUGUAGCGGUGAAAUGCGUAGAUAUUGGGAAGAACACCGGUGGCGAAAGCGCUUUGCUGGACCGAACCUGACGCUGAGGGACGAAAGCUAGGGGAGCG
rnacentral:rRNA from 1 species